AACGAACGCUGGCGGCAUGCCUAACACAUGCAAGUCGAACGAGACCUUCGUGUCUAGUUGCGCACGGGUGCGUAACGCGUGGGAACCUGCCCUUAGGUUCGGAAUAACUCCCCGAAAGGUGUGCUAAUACCGGAUAAUGUCUUCGGACCAAAGGUUUAUCGCCUUUGUAUGGGCCCGCGUUGGAUUAGCUAGUUGGUAGGGUAAAAGCCUACCAAGACGACCAUCCAUAGCUGGUCAGAGAGGAUGAUAAGGCAAACUGGGACUGAGACACGGCCCACACUGCUACGGGAGGCAGCAGUGGGGAAUAAUGGACAAUGGGCGAAAGCAUGAUCCAGCAAUGACGCGUGAGUGAUGAAGGCCUUAGGGUUGUAAAGCUCUUUUAACCGGGAUGAUAAUGACAGUACCGGGAGAAUAAGCUCCGGCUAACUCCGUG
rnacentral:rRNA from 1 species